rnacentral:rRNA from 1 species
ACGAACGCUGGCGGCGUGCUUAACACAUGCAAGUCGAACGGAAAGGCCCUGCUUUUGUGGGGUGCUCGAGUGGCGAACGGGUGAGUAACACGUGAGUAACCUGCCCUUGACUUUGGGAUAACUUCAGGAAACUGGGGCUAAUACCGGAUAGGAGCUCCUGCUGCAUGGUGGGGGUUGGAAAGUUUCGGCGGUUGGGGAUGGACUCGCGGCUUAUCAGCUUGUUGGUGGGGUAGUGGCUUACCAAGGCUUUGACGGGUAGCCGGCCUGAGAGGGUGACCGGCCACAUUGGGACUGAGAUACGGCCCAGACUCCUACGGGAGGCAGCAGUGGGGAAUAUUGCACAAUGGACGGAAGCCUGAUGCAGCAACGCCGCGUGCGGGAUGACGGCCUUCGGGUUGUAAACCGCUUUCGCCUGUGACGAAGCGUGAGUGACGGUAAUGGGUAAAGAAGCACCGGCUAACUACGUG